UACGUAGGGGGCAAGCGUUGUCCGGAAUCAUUGGGCGUAAAGCGCGUGUAGGCGGCCCGGUAAGUCCGCUGUGAAAGUCGGGGGCUCAACCCUCGGAUGCCGGUGGAUACUGUCGGGCUUGAGUGCGGAAGAGGCGAGUGGAAUUCCUGGUGUAGCGGUGAAAUGCGCAGAUAUCAGGAGGAACACCAAUUGCGAAGGCAGCUCGCUGGGACGUUACUGACGCUGAUGCGCGAAAGCGUGGGGAGCAAACAGG
rnacentral:rRNA from 1 species